UAUAAAAAUAAAAAACAAUUCAAAACAUUUAUUUAAGUAAAAUAGAAAGCUAAAAUCUCACAAUUCUGACUUUGUAACUUGCAACUGGGAGUUUAUGUCUCACAUUUGUGAUACACCCUUUUUUUAUUCCGUGACAAAAACAAGCUUCCAUACUUCUUAAGAUUUGAAAGAAAUUGCCAGCGACUCUUUUUAAUGCAUCUGAAAGACAAUAUCCUGAAAACACAUCCAGAUCAUAUCUCAGCCCACACUCAAAAGCAUUAGGAUGUUUUGCAUUGUAACAUUAUUUUCACACAUUUCAACGUCAAACUCUCAAUACUGUAGCGUGUGAGUGCUUGACUUUAUUCUGUUUGUCAUAAUUCCUAUAAUACUGUACAUUAUUUAAUUUUUAUUUACAGUAAAUCAGCAAAAAGCCAGUACAAAUUAUCCUGGUGUUCAAUUAAAUGCAUUUUUUUUUUCUUGUUUAUCAUUGCAGUACUGAGAAUUUGGAGGUAUUUUUUAAAACUGAAAUUGUUUAUAGGAAAAGAAAUCUUGGUCCUAAUAUGAUAAUAGGCUUUAUUUUUAAUGCAAAAUAUGUCUUGUGAAUUUGGCAUGAAAUAAUACUGGAUGUGUUCUUGUGCAGACAUAUUAAUACAAAUUUCUGUACUUUUUUUUUUUUUUUUUUUUUGUGAAUACCAUAAAAACAUGUACAGGUCAAAUUUCACCCUAAACCAAGAUGUUUUGCACUGUGAUAUUAUUUUAAUGACAGUUAAACACGUCUUCAUACAUGUUUUAUUUUUGAUUUCUCAUUACUGCGAUAAACAUAGGCUUCAUAGGCUACUCGUAAUGCAAAAUAUAAUGUUAUUUUUUUGUUGUUGUUUUUAUCAUAUAAGUUCAGGGUGAAAUAUGAACUGGGCAUGUUCUUGACAGGUUUGGUGAGAUUCAUAUUGUUAUGAUUGUUUAACGGUCUGUAUUGGAGCUCAAAAUGAUCGAUAAGGUUUCCUAGAGUUUGAUGUUUUGAUUCGUAAGGCCCAUUCACACUAAUAAUGAUAACUAAAAAGAUGAUAAUUAUAAUCUUCCAUCAUUGUUUAUUCUAAGCGCGCGCUGCAGUUUUUCCGUCUGUAGCUUUAAAUGUUCGCGCUGUUUAAAGCAGGAUGAAUUCUGAUUGGCUGUCAGCGUCUUUAACGAUUAUCAGCUGGUGAGAAAACCUGGUUUCUCGUCGUGAUUGUUAUGCGGUGUGGACUCUGCUAUUCUUUAUAUUUAAGAUAACUUGUAGUUGUAGUUAUCUUCCUUUGUGUGAACGGGCCUUUAACACGGUUUUAUUCUGUCCUCCGGUGCCAAAUCAUCCCGUGCCAUAAUAUCACCUCAGAUCCUCAUGAUUCACGUCAUAAAGACACUCGCAGUGAGUAUUUGAUGUGUGUGUGUGUGUGUGUGUGUGUGUGUGUGUGGAACGACUGAUCGCACAUGCCUUUAAAUGUGACAAUCUCUGGACCAACAUUUCUGUUUGAAGAACAUUAAGAUUAUCUUUUGUGUUUCUACUGAACUUCUGCUUGGCCUUGAACAGAGCCGCGUCUCUUGAGCUUCUCGUGUGUUUAGUACCUCAUGUGGUUUAAGGAAUGGCUUUAUGACAAGUGAUGUUGUUCUCUAAAAAGUUUACAUUGAAGGAUUUUCUCUCCUUGUGCCUGUAAAGAUCUACUGACCAAUGACACGCUUCCUGAAUCUUUAAUAAGGUCCUAAACUCCUCUAAGCUAGUUUAACUCAUUACAAGUAUUUGGCAAAAUAAAGCAGAAAAUAACACAAAGAACUGAACUGUAACUGUAAAGCAGGUCAAAAAAAUCAACUUCAGAUUUCUUUGAGAGCGUUUAUUUUUUGUUAUGCGUGUAACAUGUUACUAAAGAAUAAAGAGGAAAAAUGCA